AGGAUAAGCUAAUAAGGGCGCACGGAGGAUGCCUAGGCGCUAGGAGCCGAUGAAGGACGUGGCGAACUACGAUAACGCCUCGGGGAGCCGUAAGCAGGCUUUGAUCCGGGGAUGUCCGAAUGGGGAAACCCACAUGGAGUAAUAUCCAUGUACCGUUACCUGAAUACAUAGGGUAAUCGGAGGCACACCCAGGGAACUGAAACAUCUAAGUACCUGGAGGAAAAGAAAACAAAAGUGAUUCCGUCAGUAGCGGCGAGCGAACGCGGAGAAGCCCAAACCAAGGAGCUUGCUCCUUGGGGUUGUAGGACGUCAACAUGGCAAAAGCAGGUUAGGCGAAGCGGUCUGGAAAGGCCGGCCAUAGAAGGUAACAGCCCUGUAACCGAAAGCCUGCGUAUGCCUAGACGGAUCCUGAGUACGGCGGGGCACGGGAAACCCCGUCGGAAUCCGGCAGGACCAUCUGCCAAGGCUAAAUACUCCCUAGCGACCGAUAGCGAAGCAGUACCGUGAGGGAAAGGUGAAAAGCACCCCGGGAGGGGAGUGAAAUAGAACCUGAAACCGUGCGCUUACAAGAAGUCAGAGGCCGUUUAUGGCUGAUGGCGUGCCUUUUGUAGAAUGAACCGGCGAGUUACGUUCCCGUGCGAGGUUAAGUCGAAGAGACGGAGCCGCAGCGAAAGCGAGUCUGAAUAGGGCGACCAUAGUACGUGGACGUAGAC
rnacentral:rRNA from 2 species